GGGGGUUUUCCGCCUCCCCGCACAGCCAACGCGGCCAUUCGGCGCACCAAGCAAGGGCAUCUGCCUUUCGAAUUCUGUACCAUGUACAAACUGUACACAAGUAACUUUUUCUUGUUUUGCUUUUUAGGGCCGCACCCGCGGCACAUGGAGGUUCCCAGGCCAGGGGUCGAGUCAGAGCUACAGCUGCUGGCCACAGCCACAGCCACAGCCACAUCAGAUCCAAGCUGUGUCUGUGACCUACACCACGGUUCACGGCAACACCGGAUCCUUAAUCCACCGAGUGGGGGCAGGGAUCGAACCUGUGUCCUCAUGGAUACUAGUUGGCCUUGUUACCGCUGAGCCGCAGUAGAAACUCUGGACAAGUAACUGCUUCAAAGAGACUUUCUUCUUAGGAUCUCACCUUUGCUGCAAAGAAAAACCCAAACAGGCUUUGUGAUUUUAGCCUGUUGUCCUCCCUCCCAGCAGCCUCUAAAGGGUUUAUUUUUGAGAUUCAUUUUUCCCCGAGUAGGAAUCAUGCCUUAGAAAACAAGUCAUUAUCAUGCGUUUGUGUUUUAAAUGACCUGGUGUUCUCACUCUGCUCCGUUUAUAAUAUCUUCCGUUCAUUCAUUCCACAAACAGAUGCUCUCCGCCAUCUACAGACAGAGAAUCCUGUUGUGCUGGAGCCAGAAGGGCCGGUUUCGUGGGAGAGCUGGAAACGGACCUGGAACCUCAAGGUUGGGAGAGGGGGAACUCGGGUGAGGACCAAGGGCAGGGCAGGUAGAAAGUGGGCCCGGAAAUUAACACGCCCCCUCCGGUCAAUCAACAAGCACUUCCACGUGGUUCAGGCCCCCUGCUCGGCUCUGGCCUGGAGCCGCAAGCAGGUACAGGUGAUUCCAAUAGCGUGAGCGUGGGAGAAACGCAGGCGUCUAAGGGAAGGGCUCUGGCUCGGAGACGAGGCAGGGCUGCCAGGAAGAGAGUGACAUUGCAGCCGAGACGGGAAGAAGGUGUGGGUGAUGGCUUCAAGCAAAGGGAAUGUCCGUUUUGACAUCCCCACGUCAAGGGAGGGGCUGCCCCCCCCAGGCCCGCAGGAGGAAGCCUCAGCUGGGAGCCAGCCCAACACCUCUGACACCGGCCGCCCUGCCUUUGGGCGAAGAGGGAGCCGGCCUCGGGCGCGGAGGCUUCCGCAGGCGCCGGUGUCCAGCUGGGAUUUGCUCACACGUCCUUGCACUGGUGUUUAUGGCAGCCCUCCGUUGACGGCUGAACCUUCCCCACUUUGCUGUCAACCUGGAUUCUGCUGCUACAGCCCUGGGAUGUUCAGGCAAGUCAGUUUGCUUCUCUGAACUUUGUUUUCUCGUCUGUAAAAUGGAGCUAAUAAUAGAACCUCCAUCAGGGGCUGUUGUAAGGAUGAAAAGAGUCCUCAGAAAAGUGGCUGCCACAUACUCCGAAGCUCAGGACACAUCAGCUUUGUUUUCGAUUCCAAGAAUCUGAAAGCACGGGAAAUCAUUCUGAGGGGAAAAUGUGAUUUACAGUCUCUAGGAAAGAAAAUAUACACAAUAAUGAGACAGGUUCCAAGAGACAUGUGUUGUCAUCUGUGAGUGGAGCUUUUCCUGCCUACACAGUCUCGGUAACUUCCUUAAAGAUACGUGCUCUCUUUGUAACCCUUAAGCUCCCACACGUUGGAGGCUUUCUUUUCCUUUCUCUUCUUCUUCUUCUUCUUCUUUUUUUUUUUUUUUGCCACACCCAAAACAUGCAGAAGUUCCCCAGGGCCCGGGGAUUGACCCCCUGCCACAGCGGUGACCACACGGAGUUCUUAACUGCUAGGCUGCCAGGGAACUCCCAGAGGCUUUCUUAAGUCAAGCGUGAGUGACUUCUGCUUCUCUUCCAUGCGCAAGAGAUUCCUUAAAAUCUAACACCUUUAGCCCCAUUAAAAAAAAAAAAAACUCAAUAAAUUAAAAGUGAACCACAGAUUUGUAAUUACUGCCUGACAACGAAGAUUAUACUUUGAAAUGCAAGAGACUGAUGGUGAUUGCAGCAAAAACUGAUACAUAGUACAUUUUUAUGUCCCCACUUUACUGAAAUGAUUUUUGACCUAAAAAGCAACCAGACACACCUAAACGUUCUCUUAGGCUUCCGUCCCCUCACCCCACCUCUUCCAAAGGCAGCAGAAUCUCUUCCCUGUGGGGUCAGUAGAGGAAAUUGUCAUUUCUGCUCCAGAGCCCUUUGCACAUCCCCUGGGAUCUGCUGCCCACGACUGCAUGCACAUGGGCCAUGUCCUUGCUUGCUUGCUUGCUUUCUUUUUUUUUUUUGCUUUCUGGGGCCUCCCCCGUGGCCUAGGAAGCUCCCAGGCUAGGGGUCGAAUAGGAGAUACAGCUGCUGGCCUACACCACAGCCACGGCAAUGCCGGAUCCUUGACCCACUCAAGCGAGGCUGGGGAUCGAACCCACAUCCUCAUGGAGACUAGUCGGAUUGUUUUCGCUGUCCGCAAAGGGAACUCCCCACAUCCUUUGUAAAAUUCAGUGUCCACCUAAGUCCCAGGGUACGAGGACAUUGGGGCCGAGGC
ensembl:lncRNA